rnacentral:lncRNA from 1 species
AAUAACGAGAUGAAGGUAUUCUUUCUCUAGUAGAUCAUCUAAGAUAACUCUCUAGAGCAUCAACAACUAGUUAUUGAUCAACCAUAUCAACUUGAACUGAAGCAUCAACAACAUCAUGCUGGUCAUUAUGGACAUGAUCAUCAUCUUCACUAGCAACUUGAUUUUCAUCAUUAUGAAAAUUUUCUUCAGGAGCAGUAGUCAAAAAAAUUAGAUCAACAUCUAAGAAUCAACCUUUUCAACUUUGUCAAAAUCUUCAAUUAUUUGUUCUUCAAAGAACACAACAUCACGG